AGAGUUUGAUCAUGGCUCAGAACGAACGCUGGCGGCAGGCUUAACACAUGCAAGUCGAACGCGUGUAGCAAUACACGAGUGGCGCACGGGUGAGUAACACGUGGAUAUCUGCCUUUUGGUUCGGGAUAACCCUGGGAAACUAGGGCUAAUACCGAAUGGUUCCUACGGGAUAAAGAUUUAUCGCCAAAAGAUGAGUCCGCGUCCGAUUAGCUAGUUGGUGAGGUAAUGGCUCACCAAGGCGACGAUCGGUAGCUGGUCUGAGAGGACGAUCAGCCACACUGGGACUGAGACACGGCCCAGACUCCUACGGGAGGCAGCAGUGGGGAAUAUUGGACAAUGGGGGCAACCCUGAUCCAGCCAUGCCGCGUGAGUGAUGAAGGCCUUCGGGUUGUAAAGCUCUUUUGGCGGGGACGAUGAUGACGGUACCCGCAGAAUAAGCCCCGGCUAACUUCGUGCCAGCAGCCGCGGUAAGACGAAGGGGGCUAGCGUUGUUCGGAAUUACUGGGCGUAAAGCGCGUGUAGGCGGUUGUCCAAGUUGGAUGUGAAAGCCUUGAGCUUAACUCAAGAAAUGCAUUCAGGACUGGAUGACUAGAGGACCGGAGAGGAUAGUGGAAUUCCCAGUGUAGUGGUGAAAUACGUAGAGAUUGGGAAGAACACCAGUGGCGAAGGCGGCUAUCUGGACGGUUUCUGACGCUAGGACACGAAAGCGUGGGGAGCAAACAGGAUUAGAUACCCUAGUAGUCC
rnacentral:rRNA from 1 species